GCAGUCCAAUUCGGUAAGUUCUCUAAAAUUGUAGAAUAAAGUUUACUAUAUUAGUGAUUUUUUUCCAAAUGUUGACUUAUGUCUCUAGCUAUCACUAAUUUUUCAGUUACCAGUGGGAACUCUGUGAAUUUCAUUUAAAUCAUAAGUGAAUGUCAUACUACAACUAAAGUACUGCAGUACAAUGAACACAGUUUUUAACUAUGUAAACUUGCUACUACUAGAUUUUAAAUAUCACCUCAGCACCCCUGUCAGCUUUUGUAUGUAGAAUGAUAGUUCUUUGUUUUCCUGAAAAGGUUUAUGAUACGGGAAAACUUUUGGGCCAUUUGUACAGGAAAGUGGGCUUUACUGGUAUGGCCCUGGCACCAAAUGCAUGUUUACCUGUGCUGCUGAGAAUCUGUCCCCUCCGAAGUGUGGGCAGCUGUGUGUGCUAUUAGCGGGGAGGGAUGUUGCUUCUUGGUUCCAGACCCAACUCUGUCAGGCUCUUGCGGAGAUGAGUUAAGCACAUUGAACCUCAGUUUCCUCUUCUAUAAAACGGGGAUAAUAAUAACUACCCUGCUUAUUUCAUAAGGUUUUUAUAAAGAUCAAAUGAGAUAAUGUAUGGGUAAGUGUUUUAAGUCUUUAGUUUGUAAAUACAAUUUUGUUAGAAAAUAGAAAUAAAUUUCAGUUUUAGACAAUUACAUAACCAGCUUUCUUUUAAGAAAAUACAUAAAUAUGUGAGUUAGCUGGAUGCCAGCUCAUCUUUGUAGUGGAGAUAGGGAAAAUCAGUUAACAUUUUUUUUCUCACAAGUAACUUGCUUCAUUCAAUAGAUUUGAUAUACUUUUGGAUGAUUUAGAUACUGUUCCUGUGUCUACAUUACAACGUACCAAUCCAAGAAAGCAACUCCAGUUUCUUCCUCUAGAUGACUCGGAAGAAAAAACUUAUUCUGAGAAAGCCACCGAUAACCAUGUUAAUCAUAGCUCUUGCCCUGAACCGGUGCCAAAUGGAGUGAAGAAAGUAUCUGUGAGAACAGCCUGGGAGAAGAAUAAAUCAGUUAGCUAUGAACAGUGUAAGCCGGUUUCAGUCACUCCACAGGGGAAUGAUUUUGAAUAUACAGCAAAAAUUCGGACCCUAGCUGAAACAGAACGAUUUUUUGAUGAACUUACAAAAGAAAAGGACCAGAUUGAGGCAGCACUAAGCAGGAUGCCUUCUCCUGGAGGACGAAUCACUUUACAGACAAGAUUAAAUCAGGAAGCCUUGGAAGAUCGUUUGGAAAGGAUUAAUCGAGAGCUGGGUUCAGUUCGCAUGACGCUAAAGAAAUUCCAUGUUUUGCGCACCUCUGCAAAUCUUUGAGAUUUGUAGCCAUUAAAUUUUGAGACAUUUUUGUUUGCACUAAUGUAUAAUUAUGCAGUCAGAAAAGGCAAACUAUUUUGUACUGUUUAUAAGCCUUCAAACAGUAGUUUUACAAUCAUGCUAUUCUUACACUUGCUAUUUUAUACUUCAAAUGGCCACAUAUUUUCAAGAUAUUUUUGUUAUGCUCAGGAAUCUCUUGUAUAUUUUACUAUUUAAAAAGCAUUAUUUUUAAAUAGUAUAUGUCUCCAAUUUAUAUCAAGAAUAAGGAAAUAUAAACAGAGGAAGCAGCUUGUUUCUAAACAAAUAGUGUUAUCCUUUUACAAUUAACUGCACACCAAUUUUAUAAACUUGUUCUACAUUGUAAAUACAAUUCAUUUUUAAAAAAAUAAAGCUUAAUAGCUUCCAUAA
rnacentral:sRNA from 1 species